rnacentral:lncRNA from 1 species
GUCGGACAAGUAUUUAGGGAGCAAAUUUGAAGGACAUGAUUGGAUAACAUCGGACCGGCCGGAUGUCCGCCGGCAAUUGGCGGCGUCCGUUUGGUGAUCGCUGGGGAAAAUGAGCGUACUUGGUUGAUUCAGAUAUAGGAACUUCUCAUUACAAAAAAUCACACCGAUAUUACAAAGCUUGUAAAAAAACUGACCCAUCACCCGUACAUUUGCCUGACACACAUACUUAUCCCUCACAACUGUUAUUCUGAAUGAUAGAAGAUCAAGCUAACCCGUGACAUAAAUAGCAACGUCGCUCACUCACUGACAGCAACAAGCCAUGAAAUUUCACUGUUGUGUCGGACGGUGGCAGAUCGGAGUCAGUGGUGUCCGUGGUAUCCACCGCCACCACCACCGCCGUAGGUGGGCGUGGGAGGGACCGGGUGGUAGUCCGGGUGGGGAUGCGGCUUGGGCUCGGGCUUGGGCACAGGGUGGUAGUCAGGGUGGCGCUGGGGCUUGGGCUCCGGCUUGGGCGGCACGGGCUUCUUGUGAUGGAAGUGCUCGAUGAUGUGCUUCUUGAUCGGCCCGCACAGGGUCGUGGACGCGCACUCUGGUGAUGCCAGCGCGUUCGUCUUGGCACCGGCGAUGACACCGAAGGUGGUGCCCUCGGACACCGGCACGAUCUUGGAUGGCUCCUGGCCGGAGCACGGCGCGUUGGAGGCGGCGUUGUGGAGCUGCGCGACGCAGUCGGCGCCGUGGAGGUCGGCGGCCAGGGGCACGCUGAAGGCGCCGCUGCCGUCAAGGGCACCUACCGCCUUGCUCUCGUACUCGCCGUCGACGUUCUUGCACUUGAUCGCCACAUGGAGACCUGAGAUACGUUAACAGGAGGAGGAUAACCAUGAGCCGAUCUCCAUCUAUAUAGCAGAAAAAGCUUGUCCUUCAAAUAAAUAUAUCUAGCACCAAGUUAGUGCUAGAUACAUCCAUUUGAGAAAGUUUGGGACCAAGUUUUUUCGGACAGAGGCAGUACACGAUUGAGCUGCAUAUGUAGCUUACCCUUGAAGGCUUUCUCGGUCUUGAUGUUCUUCCUGGUGCAAUCAGCGCAGGCCAGUCCGACGACGACGGACGCCGCCUCGGCGUUGGCAACAGCAACCGCCAGCAUGACGGCGAGGACGAGUGCUCUCGGAGCUGCCAUGUCUGAACCUCUACCACUUGCUUGCCUGUGUUGGAAGGAUGAAUGGAACAGGCGACGCAUGGCUUAUAUAGGCCUCCGCAUUGAUCGGCACAGCUCGAUGGCGAUCUGGCUGCAUGCUCGAAGCUCGAAGGGUGGUGGGCGGCGAAGUGAUGCGUGACAACGAGAGGCUGGCUAACUCACCGAAAUUCUAGAUGGCGAGUUAAUAUAUACGGCGCCCGCUGCAUGAUCGGAUCGGUCGGUGCGUGUGCCUCCACGUCGCGGUUGGUGAUCGACUUAUUUUGGUGGUGGAGUAGCGUAGGUUGGCACCGGCUAAAAAUGCUAAACAUACAAAUAAGUAUACAAGUUUACAAACUCUUUCUAUCUACUAACCAAUCACAAACUUGCUCACCCCUCCCUCCCAACCCUUGAUUUUCAGGGGAUGGGCCGCCUCCCCACUUAGUGACCAAUCAAGUUAACCCUCUUUGUAAAACCUUGUAACUCAUUUGUACGUGUAGCAUUACUGGGCACCGGCCGCCUGUACAUGCAUUUGCUUGCGUGCGUGCAUGCAGCGUAAGUUCUCGUAGUAGUAUUCCCUCUGUUUUUUUAUAGUCUGCAUAUAAGAUCUGGCCAAAGUCAAACUUUGUAAAGUUUGACCAAAUUUAUUUGAAAAAAUAUCAACAUCUACAAUAUUAAAGCUAUAUGAUAUGAAAAUUAAUUUCAUGAUGCAUCUAACAAUAUUGAUUUCAUAUUGUGAGCCAUGGUAUAUUUUUCUAUAAACUUAGUUAAAGUUGAUAAAGUUUGACUUUGAUCAAAUCUUAUAUACAGACUAAAAGAAAACGAAGGGAGUGGUACCAAAAAUGCUACACCUACGUAAUGUUUGCUGGUGGUAAGCUGGUGUUGGAUCGACAUCACAGAAUUGCUGCAAAGUGAGUAGUGAGCUUGUGUGUGAACUGCAAAAACGGCUUACAUCAAGUUACAUAGGGACUAGAAUGUUACAUAUGAGCAGUUUCUAAUUAUGUUUAAUCGAAGAAAACAUGGAUAUAAGAUGAUCAAUAUAGUUAACAUGAUAUUCGAACAAGAGAAGUUUUUUUUUAAACACAUUAUAGACGCAGGCGGUAGUACAUACGCACAUACACUCGCUCAUAUAAAUAUGCACACAUGCACACCCUACCCCUAUGAGCACCUGAGAGACUGAGCCGGCACAUCAUCUUGAGUUUGACGCUAUCGUAGUUGACGGGACGUCUCGUCUCACUGAACGCACAUAGUCAGAUGACCUAAAAUAAAUUCAGAAAAAUGCGAGCACGUGUUAAGUCUAGGACUUGAACUCUGAUGGGCUGGGGAUACCACUAUUCUCAUAACCAUCCGACCACAAGUUGGUUCGCUCGAACAAGAGAAGUUGUUAAGCAAAAAAGACAUGCUAUUUGAUGUGUAUGGUAUACAUGGCAUGUCCAGAUCGAAUACUAAUAUAGUAAGGAACCGGAAGUAAUCGUUAAUGGAGGGGGAAAAUAAUGUAUGAUGUGGCAGAUGAAGAAGCGUUAGCAGUCAGCGCACCGCGAAUGGUGGAAAUGGCGUGGAGGGAUGGGGAGUCGUCGUCGGGGAAGUAGUCUUCGUUGUAUGCCUCAAUGUCGGUAGAGCUCUCCCUAAAAAUCCUGAUCUCCUCUCUCUCAUACAUGAUCACAAUAGAAGGUUCCGAAGUCCUAUUGUUCCACGUCAUGGUGCAUGAGGAAAAGUGGAAUGGGAAAGACGUAAGGGGCGCAAAGAUCUUGAACUGAAGGAUGUUCUCAUGCACGUUUCUAUGUAACCCCAUCUAUGGAUAGAGGAGCAAUCUCUAAUAGACUAACAACCGAAACCGGUCCACUAUGGAAGAGUUGGAGAUGAAGAGUCUACAAAUGUUCAGUUUAAUCCUUCUACUAGUGCAUAAUGUUUCGAAUCCUGUCACGCACGACAAGAGGAGUGACACACAUGUGACAUAGGUCAUAGUUCAGCUCGUUCACGAAACACAAAGCGCGUCAGGCGAGGUGAUGUCAUGCAAAUGCAUAGAGUUUAGUUGUAGCUGUUUUUGAAGUAAGAGUAUUGAUCGAUCCCACAAGAGCUGAGAAAAUGGUCUUUUGCCCCUUAUAGAGGUUUAUCCGAAUUUGCCUGCAAAUUAUUUUACGUCCCAAGCAAAAGCGGUGUGAAAGGUGAAAUAUUGCAAGAGUGUGUGUAUGUGUGAAAGCGAGAAUUAAAGUGCACACAAACAAUGACUAAGAAUAAGAGAGUAAUGAUAAUGAUGAAAACUCCAAUAGGGCCAAAAGGCAUUCUCAUAUAGUCUGUAUGUACCACAUGUAUUUAUUAUACUUAAUUGUGUAGAAACACAACCUUUGGUUCAAAUACUUGAUCCAUGUUAUAUAUGUAUUGCGCGGGGAGAGCCAAUAAAAGCUAUUGGCAUAUUACCGAUGUUCUAUAUCACGCACGUCAUCACCAUCCCUCCAAUGCAUAUCGGCAGAGUACGAUGGUGAUUAAGGGUCUCUCCGGGGAUGCGGAUUAAAACACUUGAGUAUUUGUUGUUUCCUUGCCAAUGAUUUGGUAAGGAGAGAGAUAGCUUCUAUCACUGUUGUACCUCUAACCCCUCAUCACAAAGAUAUAAUAUCCAUCAAAUCCUGAUGGGCUAAAUAUUGUGCAGUCGAUGUUGGCACAAUAUCAUGAAGAACAUUAACACAAUUAUAUAACAAAGAUUGCAUAUAUUAUUGUCAUUAGGAUCAUAUAAAUACUAGGGUUCCCCAUAUCCACAAGAAUUGGUAAAUUACUCAGGCAUAGAGGCACGAGACAUCGUCGAGGUGUCCAUGGCAAUGGAAGAUGAAUUAUUAAUGUAACACACGUAUAAAUCUAGACUAGGGUUUGGGAAUACAACAAGAUGAAUGAGGGAUAGUCAAUUUUGAGUAUGUGGAUGAUAUUGCUAAUGAUGAUGGCUGAUGUCAUGGCCUCGGUGGUCGAAGCUUUGGCGAGGUGGUGCCCUUCUACUAAUUCGCACUUCGGAUCCCUUCUGGGGAUGAGGUUUUCUACUUCUAUUUCAUGGUCUGUGAUAUCUCUGUUAGGCACGUCUGAGAUCCCAUUGCACGGGGUGGAAGUUGUCCACCGGGUGGAGGUGGCGCCGUGCGGUAUGAACAGUCGCGCUCGUAUUGUGCGUCGUCUUCUCUCCUAGAUAGCUGGUCGUGGCUAGUUUUCCUCCCACAUUCUCGUCUCUUCGUAUAGAAGUCUUUAUGACGUCUAAUCAGCAUAUUAUUCACACCAAAAAUAGAUGUUUUACAUUUAGUGGUCAAUAUCCUGGGAUCUUGAUGACAUCAAGCGAAAGGGAAAGCAACUGUGAUAAAGUGCAAAAAAUUAUGUGGUUAUUGAGGCCAAGUUCUCGCCCCAAGUGCGGUUGAGCCUCGCCCUUGAUCUAGCGUGUAAUGGUGGAUGACUGCUUCAACGAUGCUAGUGGUGUUUCUUUUCUACUCCCUCCGUUCCUAAAUAUUUGUCUUUCUAGAGAUUUUGACAAGUGACUACAUACGGAGCAAAAUGAGUGAAUCUACACUAAAAUAUGUCUAUAUACAUCAGUAUGUGGUAGUCCAUUUGAAAUCUUCAGAAAGACAAAUAUUUAGAAACGAGGGGAGUAUGAGAGUGCUGGUUAUGUCGUGACCUGUUAGCUAUGUGUAAGCACUGUGUAUCUGCCAUUUUAUUUUCUUGCUUGUUGUAAGUGUGGUCGAUGUAAUUGCUGACUGAUUAAUGGCUCCAGACUUUUCUUAAACCUUCAUUAAAAGAAGAGUAAAUUUGACAAAGAGAGAAUGUCGGACAAGUACUUAGUAGCAAAUUUGAAGGACAUGAUUGGAUGACGUCCGCCCGGCCGGAUGUCCGCGGACAUUUGGUGGCGUCCAUUUGGUGAUAGCCGGGAAAAAAGAGUGUACUCCCUCCGUCUAGAUGAGCAAGUCAUCUUAGAUUGUGCACCGUGACCAAGGAGGAGGAGAAAACGAGAGAACUUAAUGUUCAUUUGUUAAUUAAUAGCAUUGCAUGCAAUGAACUAAUCACUGCAUGUCGUGUUUGGUAAUCUCAAGUCAUUAAAAGCAUGCACACCCCACAUCUCUUAUUGGUUGAUAUGUCAAGAAACAAGAAACAAGGUAGAAUUUAAUGCACCGCGCCUAACUGUUUUGGGAUUAUUUGGUUUCGUAAGAUGACUUACACACCUAGACGGAGGGAGUACUUGGUUCAUUCAGAUAUAUAGCGACUUCCCAUUACAAAAAAUCACACCGAUAUUACAAACCUUGUAAAAAAACUGACCAUCACCCGUACAUUUGCCUGACACACAUACUUAUCCCUCACAACUCUUAUUCUGAAUGAUAGAAGAUCAAGCUAACCCCUGACAUAAAUAGCAACGUCGCUCACUGACAGCAACAAGCCAUGAAAUUUCACUGCUAGGCCGGAUGGUGGUAGAUCGGAGUCACUAGUGGUGUCCAUGGUAUCCACCACCGCCGCCGCCGCCGCCGUAGGUGGGCGUGGGAGGGACGGGGUGGUAGUCCGGGUGGGGCUGCGGCUUGGGCACGGGGUGAUAGUCAGGAUGGGGCUGGGGCUUGGGCUCCGGCUUGGGCGGCACGGGCUGCUUGUGGUGGAAAUGCUCGAUGAUGUGCUUCUUGAUCGGCCCGCACAAGGUCAUGGACGCGCACUC